rnacentral:rRNA from 1 species
UCAUACGGAGGAUCCAAGCGUUAUCCGGAUUUACUGGGCGUAAAGAGUUGCGUAGGUGGUUCGCCAAGUUUUCGUUUAAAUGCCAAGGCUCAACCUUGGAAGUGACGAAAAAACUGGCGAACUCGAGAAUGAGAGAGGUCACUGGAAUUCCUUGUGUAGGAGUGAAAUCCGUAGAUAUAAGGAGGAACACCAAUGGCGUAGGCAGGUGACUGGCUCAUUUCUGACACUGAGGCACGAAAGCGUGGGGAGCGAACGGGAUUAGAUACCCCGGUAGUCCACGCCGUAAACGAUGGAUGCUAGCUGUUAGGAGUAUCGACCCUUCUAGUAGCGAAGCUAACGCGUUAAGCAUCCCGCCUGGGGAGUACGGUCGCAAGAUUA